GUGAGUAACGCGUAGAUAACCUACCCCCUAGUCUGGGACAACCUUUCGAAAGGAGGGCUAAUACUGGAUAACAAUGGGAACCUAGUGGUUCCUAUUUGAAAGAUUUAUCGCUUGGGGAUGGGUCUGCGUACCAUUAGCUUGUUGGUGGGGUAAAGGCCUACCAAGGCAACGAUGGUUAGCGGGUCUGAGAGGAUGAUCCGCCACACUGGAACUGAGACACGGUCCAGACUCC
rnacentral:rRNA from 1 species